CCCUUAGAUGUUCUGGGCCGCACGCGCGCUACACUGAUGCAUUCAACGAGUCUAAAACCUGCUCUGAUAGGGGUGGGUAAUCUUUUGAAUGUGCAUCGUGAUUGGGAUAGAUGAUUGCAAUUUUUCAUCUUCAACGAGGAAUGCCUAGUAAACGCAAGUCAUCAGCUUGCAUUGAUUACGUCCCUGCCCUUUGUACACACCGCCCGUCGCUCCUACCGAUUGAAUGAUCCGAUGAAUAUCAUGGAUUGAGGAUUAUAGCAGGUUCGCCUGUCUUGAUCUUCGAGAAGUGAAGUAAAUCUUAUCAUUUAGAGGAAGGAGAAGUCGUAACA
rnacentral:rRNA from 1 species